rnacentral:misc_RNA from 1 species
UGGCUCUCGCAUCGAUGAAGAACGCAGCGAAAUGCGAUAAGUAAUGUGAAUUGCAGAAUUCAGUGAAUCAUCGAAUCUUUGAACGCACCUUGCGCUCCUUGGUAUUCCGAGGAGCAUGCCUGUUUGAGUGUCGUGAAAUCAUCAACUCCCUUUCGCUUUUGUGUAAGGGUGCUUGGAUUUGGAGACUUGCUGGCCUUUCGAGGCUCUGGCUUCUCUUGAAUGCAUUAGCUGAUAAUUGAUUUGCAGCAUAUAUGCGGUGUGAUAAUGUCUUCACUGUGUAGCUCAAGUCGCCAUUGGCUUCUAAUCGUCCUUCGCGGACAACUCUUGAUCAUUAGACCUCAAAUCAGGUAGGACUACCCGCUGA